rnacentral:rRNA from 1 species
GAUGAACGCUGACAGAAUGCUUAACACAUGCAAGUCAACUUGAAUUUGGGUUUUUAACUUGGGUUUGGGUGGCGGACGGGUGAGUAACGCGUAAAGAACUUGCCUCACAGCUAGGGACAACAUUUGGAAACGAAUGCUAAUACCUAAUAUUAUGAUAAUAGGGCAUCCUAUAAUUAUGAAAGCUAUAAGCGCUGUGAGAGAGCUUUGCGUCCCAUUAGCUAGUUGGAGAGGUAACGGCUCACCAAGGCGAUGAUGGGUAGCCGGCCUGAGAGGGUGAUCGGCCACAAGGGGACGGAGACACGGCCCUUACUCUUACGGGAGGCAGCAGUGGGGAUUAUUGGACAUUGGACCGAGAGUCUGAUCCAGCAAUUCUGUGUGCACGAUGAAGUUUUGCGGUAUGUAAAGUGCUUUCAGGUGGGAAGAAACAAAUGACGGUACCAACAGAAGAAGUGACGGCUAAAUACGUG